GACGAACGCUGGCGGCGUGCUUAACACAUGCAAGUCGAACGGAAAGGCCCUGCUUUUGUGGGGUGCUCGAGUGGCGAACGGGUGAGUAACACGUGAGCAACCUGCCCUUGACUUUGGGAUAACCUCUGGAAACUGGGGCUAAUACCGGAUAGGAGCUCCUGCUGCAUGGUGGGGGUUGGAAAGUUUCGGCGGUUGGGGAUGGACUCGCGGCUUAUCAGCUUGUUGGUGGGGUAGUGGCUUACCAAGGCUUUGACGGGUAGCCGGCCUGAGAGGGUGACCGGCCACAUUGGGACUGAGAUACGGCCCAGACUCCUACGGGAGGCAGCAGUGGGGAAUAUUGCACAAUGGGCGGAAGCCUGAUGCAGCAACGCCGCGUGCGGGAUGACGGCCUUCGGGUUGUAAACCGCUUUCGCCUGUGACGAAGCGUGAGUGACGGUAAUGGGUAAAGAAGCACCGGCUAACUACGUG
rnacentral:rRNA from 1 species